GAUGAACGCUGGCGGCGUGCCUAAUACAUGCAAGUCGAGCGAACAGACGAGGAGCUUGCUCCUUUGACGUUAGCGGCGGACGGGUGAGUAACACGUAGGUAACCUACCUAUAAGACUGGGAUAACUUCGGGAAACCGGAGCUAAUACCGGAUAAUAUUUCGAACCGCAUGGUUCGAUAGUGGAAGAUGGCUUUGCUAUCACUUAUAGAUGGACCUGCGCCGUAUUAGCUAGUUGGUAAGGUAACGGCUUACCAAGGCAACGAUACGUAGCCGACCUGAGAGGGUGAUCGGCCACGCUGGAACUGAGACACGGUCCAGACUCCUACGGGAGGCAGCAGUAGGGAAUCUUCCGCAAUGGGCGAAAGCCUGACGGAGCAACGCCGCGUGAGUGAUGAAGGUCUUCGGAUCGUAAAACUCUGUUAUUAGGGAAGAACAAACGUGUAAGUAACUGUGCACGUCUUGACGGUACCUAAUCAGAAAGCCACGGCUAACUACGUG
rnacentral:rRNA from 1 species